ensembl:lncRNA novel transcript, antisense to GPC6
ACGAGCAGCGCAGCCCUCUGGACUGCGCUCAGCAAACUUUUAUAAGCCAGAUGGACGAUGGCAAGCCAACAAGGGCUGGCUGGGAAGGCUGCUGCCUUGCUCCUCUAGCCCCCAGAUGGAAACGGUGCAAUCAAAACGAGGAAGAGAAGGAAAAGAAGUGUUUAAAAAACCACCAUGGGGGUUCAGAGCUGCAAUCCGAGUUCCGAGCCGCAGAAUCCUGGAGCGCUGCGGGCUCGGCUCGCCGGAGUGUGCGGCAAAGGUGGGAGCGCGCGCCGGCUCCCCCGGGAGGGAGAUGGACAAGCGAGAGCGAGUGUGUAUGCGCGCGUGUGUCUGUUGGUGUGAGCUCGAGGUUCUUGGGGAUGUGUGUGCGUGGAGGUAUGUGUUGGGGAUAUACGAGAUCUAGGGGAAACCUCAGCUUAACACAGGCUGUGGGAGCCUGUGAGAGUCCUCCUGAAAUAGGAAGAGAGAAAUCCUGGAGACAGUCACUGGAGGCAAGAGGGAAGGAGAAAGGAGGGGGGAGAAAGAAACGUGCUACACAUUGCACAGCCGAAAUUCACAGGCCGAGUCAAAGGCAAAACCUGGACUGGAUCUCUUCCUAGUCGGUAGAAAGGGGAAAAAAAGAAAAAGAAACGUACCUAUUUUCUUAUUCACUUCACAUCCUUUAUACCGAUCUGAAAUGACAUCAAUAAACAAUCUAGAAAGACAA